rnacentral:rRNA from 1 species
UUAAAGGAAUUGGCGGAAGGGCACCACCAGGCGUGGUGCGUGCGGCUCAAUUUGACUCAACACGGGAAAUCUUACCCGGUCCGGACACAGUAAGGAUUGACAGAUUGAGAGCUCUUUCUUGAUUCUGUGGAUGGUGGUGCAUGGUCGUUCUUAGUUGGUGGAGUGAUUUGUCUGGUUAAUUCCGAUAACGAACGAGACUCUAGCCUACUAAAUAGGCGCGUUCCGAUCUUACACAGUCGGACGUAAAUAUUCUUCUUAGAGGGAUAAGCGGCGUUUAGCCGCACGAGAAAGA